rnacentral:rRNA from 1 species
UACGAAGGGGGCUAGCGUUGCUCGGAAUCACUGGGCGUAAAGCGCACGUAGGCGGCUUUCUAAGUCAGGGGUGAAAUCCUGGAGCUCAACUCCAGAACUGCCUUCGAUACUGAUUGGCUUGAGACCGGAAGAGGUCAGUGGAACUGCGAGUGUAGAGGUGAAAUUCGUAGAUAUUCGCAAGAACACCAGUGGCGAAGGCGGCUGACUGGUCCGGUUCUGACGCUGAGGCGCGAAAGCGUGGGGAGCAAACAGG